UAAACAGAGGCUCUUGGGAGCUUUGUGAGGU
rnacentral:piRNA from 1 species